rnacentral:rRNA from 1 species
UUGGGGAUAUUGCACAAUGGGCGAAAGCCUGAUGCAGCGACGCCGCGUGGGGGAUGAAGGCCUUCGGGUUGUAAACUUCUUUUGCUCUGAACAAGGCGCACCAUGGGGUGUGUUGAGUGUAGGGGUUGAUUAGCGCCGGCUAACUACGUGCCAGCAGCCGCGGUAAUACGUAGGGCGCGAGCGUUGUCCGGAAUUAUUGGGCGUAAAGGGCUUGUAGGUGGCUGGUUGCGUCUGUCGUGAAAGCUCAUGGCUUAACUGUUGUUGUGCGGUUGGUACGGGCUGGCUUGAGUGCAGUAGUGGAGGCUGGAAUUCCUGGUGUAGCGGUGGAAUGCGCAGAUAUCAGGAGGAAUACCGGUGGCGAAGGCGGGGCUCUGGGCUGUUACUGACACUGAGGAGCUAAAGCAUGAGGAGCGAACAGG